rnacentral:rRNA from 1 species
UACGGGGGGGGCAAGCGUUGUUCGGAAUUACUGGGCGUAAAGGGUCUGUAGGUGGCCAACUAAGUCAGACGUGAAAUCCCUCAGCUUAACUGGGGAACUGCGUCUGAUACUGGUCGGCUUGAGUGCAGGAGAGGAACGCGGAAUUCCAGGUGUAGCGGUGAAAUGCGUAGAUAUCUGGAGGAACACCGGUGGCGAAGGCGGUUCUCUGGGCCGUAACUGACGCUGAGGAGCGAAAGCAUGGGGAGCGAACAGG